rnacentral:rRNA from 1 species
CCUACGGGAGGCAGCAGUGGGGGAUAUUGCACAAUGGUGGAAACCCUGAUGCAGUGACGCCGCGUGAGUGAAGAAGUAUUUCGGUAUGUAAAGCUCUAUCAGCAGGGAAGAAAAUGACAGUACCUGACCAAGAAUCCCCGUCUAACUACGUGCCAGCAGCCGCGGUACUACGUAGGGAGCAAGCGUUAUCCGGAUUUACUGGGUGUUAAGGGAGCGUAGACGGUUCUGUAAGUCUGGAGUGAAAGCCCUGGGUCCAACCCCGGGACUGCUUUGGAAACUGUGUAACUGGAGUACAGGAGGGGCAGGCGGAAUUCGUGGUGUAGCGGUGAAAUGCGUAGAUAUCAGGAGGAACACCGGCGGCGAAGGCGGCCUGCUGGACUGAAACUGACGUUGAGGCUCGAAAGCGUGGGGAGCGAACAGGAUUAGAUACCCGAGUAGUC